rnacentral:rRNA from 1 species
GGCAGUGGCGGACGGGUGAGUAACGCGUAGGAAUCUAUCCAUGGAUGGGGGAUAACGUCGGGAAACUGACGCUAAUACCGCAUGAAGCCUGAGGGCCAAAGACGCUUGCGUCGUCGGUGGAGGAGCCUGCGUUCGAUUAGCUAGUUGGUGGGGUAAAGGCCUACCAAGGCGACGAUCGAUAGCUGGUCUGAGAGGAUGAUCAGCCACACUGGGACUGAGACACGGCCCAGACUCCUACGGGAGGCAGCAGUGGGGAAUAUUGGACAAUGGGCGCAAGCCUGAUCCAGCAAUGCCGCGUGAGUGAAGAAGGUUUUCGGAUUGUAAAGCUCUUUCGGCGGGGACGAUGAUGACGGUACCCGCAGAAGAAGCCCCGGCUAACUUCGUGCCAGCAGCCGCGGUAAUACGAAGGGGGCUAGCGUUGCUCGGAAUGACUGGGCGUAAAGGGCGCGUAGGCGG